rnacentral:rRNA from 2 species
CUGGUGUCAGCCGCCGCGGUAAUACCAGCACCCCGAGUGGUCGGGACGUCUAUUGGGCCUAAAGCAUCCGUAGCCGGUUCUACAAGUCUUCCGUUAAAUCCACCUGCUUAACAGAUGGGCUGCGGAAGAUACUAUAGAGCUAGGAGGCGGGAGAGGCAAGCGGUACUCGAUGGGUAGGGGUAAAAUCCGUUGAUCCAUUGAAGACCACCAGUGGCGAAGGCGGCUUGCCAGAACGCGCUCGACGGUGAGGGAUGAAAGCUGGGGGAGCAAACCGGAUUAGACACCCGGGUAGUCCCAGCUGUAAACGAUGCAGACUCGGUGAUGAGUUGGCUUAUUGCUAACUCAGUGCCGCAGGGAAGCCGUUAAGUUUGCCGCCUGGGGAGUACGGUCGCAAGACUGAAACUUAAAG